CAGUCGCCGCGGGAAUACGGAGGGAGCUAGCGUUGUUCGGAAUUACUGGGCGUAAAGCGCGUGUAGGCGGUUACUCAAGUCAGAGGUGAAAGCCCGGGGCUCAACCCCGGAACUGCCUUUGAAACUAGGUGACUAGAAUCUUGGAGAGGUCAGUGGAAUUCCGAGUGUAGAGGUGAAAUUCGUAGAUAUUCGGAAGAACACCAGUGGCGAAGGCGACUGACUGGACAAGUAUUGACGCUGAGGUGCGAAAGCGUGGGGAGCAAACAGGAUUAGAUACCCCCGUAGUCCCUGUCUCUUAUAC
rnacentral:rRNA from 1 species